rnacentral:lncRNA from 10 species
GAAGACCAUUGCCUCCAGAAGUUGGCAUGACGAUUCUAAGUUCUCCAGCCCUGUGAAACUGUUUUGGAAUGCACGUCAUUUAAAAAAAUAUUCAUAACCCAGCACAGUGGCUCAUGCCUGUAAUUCCAACUCUUUGAGAGGCCAAGGCAGGAAAAUCACUUAACUCCAGAGUUCCAGACCAGCCUGGGCAUAAUAGCAAGACUCCAUCUCUACAAAAAAUAAAAACUUAGCUCGGUGUAGUGGUGCAUGCCUGUAGUCCCAGCUACUCGGGAGGCUGAGGUGGGAGGAUCACUUGAGCCCAGGAGGUUGAGGUUGCAGUGAGCUGUGUUUGCACCACUGCACUCCAGUCUGGGUAACAGAGUGAGACCCCCAUCUCAAAAAAAAAAAAAUGUAUCUCAAGACUUGUUCACUUCAAGAAAAGUUUAGAGUAGCCCAAUCCCCUGAGGAAAUUGGAACCAAGGGACGAUGAAACAAGGGUCGUAUCUCCUUUUUGGCUUCUCUGCUGAUGUGGUUCUUAUCUGAGAAUCAUAUAAACUGUUCCCAGUGGGCAGAGCAAUGGCACAGCCAGGAGUGUCUGGGGAAACUGAAGCAUCCUGAGCCCCCUCCCAAGUCAUCUGUGUCUGGGUUCUCUGCUUAUGCCCCACAAAUAGCUCGUCCAAGUAGGACAUUCGAACAAGCACCCCGGACACAGAAUGUAAUCCGCACCACAGCCCAGCAUAUGGCCUGGCUUUUUCUCUUCAUCUUCAUCCUUGUAUGUCUAAAGAGAAAUGUUUGUGUGGGAGGAGAUGACAUUUGAGUUCGUUAAUUCAAAACACUGGUGGUAAGAUGACUUAUUCCAGGAACUUCAGUUCUGGAUUUCAUCAAAUAAACUCAGGGACUCAACAGAAGAAAGUGACCGUCUUGUGAGUCCACUGAGCUCUGUCUCCAGAACAGAACCCCAAGGAGUCGGACACAGGAGCAGCAAAGUGCAGGCUGCCCACUGCAUCUGCACCAAGGGGAAGGCACGGUCUCUGCAGGCAGCUGCCUCGUACCCCAGCAGCUGCACGUUGCUGCCAGCGCCUGGGGACCGCUGCCUCAGAUGGAGAAGCUGGAACUCAGAUCCUAGACUAUUCCCCUGGGGGAAUGCGAUGAUGGUUUCCAAACUUCACAGGUGCAGGCACGGUUCAAACCUCUGCUUUGCCCUUCCUAACUGCCUGAACUUGAGCAAGUGACCUCCACCCCCAAGUACUUCAGGUUCCUGAUCUAUAGAAGGAAGAUCGUAACGAUAAUGGUCUUGUGGAGUAGGAUGAGGAUUAAAUAAUCUCUCUCCAGUGGGGACUGUUUAUUAUCUCACACCCCAUGUACCCCAGGGACAGAAAAUGGGGUUAGGGGGCAGGGCGUGGUGGUGCACACCUGUGGUCCCAGCUGCUCUGGAGGCUGAAGCAGGAGGAUCGCUUGAGCCCAGGAGGUCGAGGCUGCAGUGAGCCAUGAUUGCACCACUGCACUCCAGCCUGGGUGACCAAGGGAGACCCUGUCUCCAAAAAAAUAAUGCGGUUAGAGUUAGCAUCUCCCUUGCUCCUUGGCUUUCAGGCCAUACCUCUUCUCCCUUUUGAGAACUAGUCGGCCUCUUCGAGUGUUAGCUGCUGGUCUCUUCCCUUCGUGCUUUGGGGUAUGGGCGUCCAGCUCAGUCCCCCCGCCGUCCCCAGGC